rnacentral:lncRNA from 1 species
AGUAUUCCGUCGGAACUGAGCUGUCCGAGGAGAGUCAGGUCCAGGAAGACAAGGUUGUUGCUCCUCCUAGUAAAGGGAAGAAGGCCAAAAAGGGGGGUUCGAAAGCUGCCAAGGGAGUGGAUGAGGAGUUUGAGGGGGCCGGAGAGGAUGAAGAUGAGGUUCCGCAAGUUGUGUUCACUGGGAAGAAGAAGGGGAAGUCGAAGAAGAGUGGUGGGAAUACGUUCAGCUCGUCGGGUUUCGGGUUGCUUGAGGAUGAGGAUAAGGAUAAGGAUGGGGAGGCUGAUGAGCAGUCUGCGGUAACAGGUGAUGAAGAGGAGGAGGAGGAUGCUCCGGCGUUGAAAUUUUCGGGGAAGAAGAAACCUUCAAAGUGGUCGAAGAAAACUUUGUUUGCGGGGUCGGCUUUUGAUGCCAUUGGUGAUGAAGGGGAUAAUGAUGGUGAGGUGGAUGAUGAUAUUGUGGAUAAGAGUAAUGCAGCUGAAGAUGAUGAGAAAGACGACGAUCCUGUGAUUGCUUUUACGGGGAAGAAGAAGGCUUCCAAGGGUGGAAAGAAGGGUGGGAGUGUGUUUGCAGCGGC